UAUGCAACUUAAAACGCGAUAAUCUGAAAUUAAAGCCUUAACUUAAGUAUAAUAUGCGUGAUUUAACUUCACUCAAUGACAGGUGCAGAUUUUCCACUCAACCUUUUGUUAUAUUCGGUGCAUCAUUUGUCUGUCAGAAAUAUCUAGAUUUUUUUACAUGAGCAUUAUGUGACGUUCUAGAUUAUGUGUUUAGUUAUAAAACACUCUCUAUGGUAGGCGGCCGCAUCUAAAACUGCUCCCACUGCUCAGUAAACUUUUCGUCAACAAAUUUCUACAGAUGAAAUUUGAGCUCUAUCAAACAUGUGUGUUGACUCUCAACCAAUAAUUCUCGAGUGAAUCCGACGUUCGGUCUGAUCAUAUUUUGACUGUUACUCUUGAAGAUUGCGAGGUUCACACUAGACACGAAGCUAUGUCUGUGCAAAGCGUUUCUGUAGAUUCUGAGGAACUUCAUCCUCUAAUUGAUGCAUCGGGCAUGCAAGGGGUAAGAGAUAAUUUUAUCUUAAAUGGUUUAAUUUGUGUACCGAUAAAUUUUAACCUUUUUUCAAGGCCAUUCAUAAUUUAAGGCGUCAGGAUUCCUUAGAGAGGCGCGACAAAAUAAAAGAAUUUUGGUGCCUGAUCGCCUGUGCAGUUGGUUCACUUUUUGGCAACCUCUUCCCCAUGCUGACCAUCGGUGCCGUGUACUACAACAGUUGCCCAGUUGAUCCAAAUUUGCCACUGAUACUUAUAGCCGGCGGUUUUAUCAUGUUUCUCUUCAGCUUGAUCGUUCUAAUCAAGGACAUGCAAUUUGUGACCAGAGAAUUCAAUAGAAGGACCGACAUGAUGAGCUUUACAAUUUAUCAAUAUGGCUCUGUCAGUAUAGUAGCAUUAUUCCUCAUCUGGCUAUUUUGGGCUACGUACAGAGUAGCAACUCUUGACAGUAGCGGCGAUUCACAGGCUGUCAACUAUUGCAAUCCGAGAUUCUACCAUUUUUUUGUAAUCAUACUUAAGACAUCAUAUGUUGGUCUGGCUGUAUUGAUUGUCUACCUUUAUUAUUGGCAAAAAUUACGCCAUCUUUUCACAUAAAUUGAUUGUUACACCUGCGAAUUUAUCGAUUUAUAAAGCUAUGAAUUCAUAAAACUUACUUGGUUUUUUACUCGAGUUUUAAAUUUUAAGUUUUUAAUGCAAGAUAUCCCAAGAGCAUUUGGGUAGUUUCCAGAACGAAGAUAAAAACUAGUCAUCAAACUAACUGACGAGAUAUUUUUUUGUAUUCCUGAUUUUGGUGUCGCGAUAGACACUCUUUUUCAU